rnacentral:tRNA from 1 species
GGCAUGGUGGCUCAGUGGUUAGAGCGCCCGUCUAAUGAACGGGAGGUCGUGGGUUCGAACCCCGCCGAUUCAU